UGGGGAAUAUUGCACAAUGGAGGGAACUCUGAUGCAGCGACGCCGCGUGAACGAAGAAGGCUUUCGAGUCGUAAAGUUCUUUUAUAUGGGAAGAUAAUGACGGUACCAUAAGAAAAAGCCCCGGCUAACUACGUGCCAGCAGCCGCGGUAAUACGUAGGGGGCUAGCGUUGUCCGGAAUCACUGGGCGUAAAGGGUUCGCAGGCGGAAAUGCAAGUCAGGUGUAAAAGGCAGUAGCUUAACUACUGUAAGCAUUUGAAACUGCAUAUCUUGAGAAGAGUAGAGGUAAGUGGAAUUUUUAGUGUAGCGGUGAAAUGCGUAGAUAUUAAAAAGAAUACCGGGGGCGAAGGCGACGUACUGGGCUCAUUCUGACGCUGAGGAACGAAAGCGUGGGUAGCAAACAGG
rnacentral:rRNA from 1 species